rnacentral:rRNA from 1 species
GACGAACGCUGGCGGCGUGCUUAAUACAUGCAAGUCGAACGAACAGGCCAUGCUCUUGCGGGUCGCUCGUGAGCCGCACGGGUGUGAAAAACGCGUGUAACCUGUCCCUAUAUUAGGGGUAUAUCUUGGAGAAACGGGAUCUUACAGCGUAGGAGCUUCUGCUGCACGUGGGGGGUAGGUGAGAUUCGGCGGUUGGGGCUGGACUCGCUGCUUACCAGCUUGUUUGUGUGGUAGUGGCGUACCAAGGCUUUGACGGGUAGCCGGCCUGGGAGGGUGACCGGCGACAUGGGGACUGAGAUACGGAGCAGACGCCUACGGGAGGCAGAAGUGGGGAAUAUUGCACAAUGGGCGGAAGCCAGAGGCAGCAACGCCGCGUGCGUGAUGACGUCCUUCGGGUGGUAAACCGAUGUCGCCUGUGCCGAAGAGUUAGUGACGGUAAUGGGUAAAGAAGCACCGGCUAACUACGUG